rnacentral:rRNA from 1 species
UACGUCUGGUUCAGGGUUGUUAAAGACAACUACAUAUCACAUAUUCUAAAUGAAUCACAUCAUGAAUAUUACGUUUUUCAACGUGAAUGACAAUGUGAACGUGAUAUAUGUGAUUGUUCGUCAAACGGUACUUGAAGUCGUCAUCGUUAUACACGUCGACACAAAUCCCGUUUUAGUUGAAGAAUGAAGCGAUAGCAACAUAUAGUAAUAUGCGUGUAUAUACCGUAUAUUAUUACACCAAAUGUGUAUCAAUGUACGAAUGAUUCGUAUGUAUGCUGAAUGUUAACGAUAUUAUCAUUACUCUACUACCAUCGUCGAUGAUAUACCAUUGUAGUUGAGUGUCAAGAGAUGGUUCAUAAUUUCAAUUUUCGUCGAUGGGAUGACAUGCGUUAAUGAGUGUGAGUAAUGAGGUGUAUAUACGAAGCAUAUGAAGAAAAUCGUAUGGAUCGCUUUCAAUUCCCAUAAAUGCAACCUGAACUCAAAUGUGAUUACCCGCUGAACUUAAGCAUAUCAUUUAGCGGAGGAAAAGAAACUAAA